AACCAUAGAAACCUGCGGAGUACCUGCGGAGGGAUCAUUACAGAGUUGCAAAACUCCCUAAACCAUUGUGAACGUUACCUAAACCGUUGCUCCGGCGGGCGGCCCGGGUCCUUCCCGGCGCCCAUCGGCCCUCGCGGGCGCCCGCCGGAGGUAAACCAAACUAUUGCAUUGUAUGGCCUCUCUGAGUCUUCUGUACUGAAUAAGUCAAAACUUUCAACAACGGAUCUCAGAUCGGAAGAG
rnacentral:misc_RNA from 1 species